rnacentral:rRNA from 1 species
AUACGUAUGGGGCAAGCGUUAUCCGGAAUUAUUGGGCGUAAAGAGUGCGUAGGUGGUUACCUAAGCGCAAGGUUUAAUCUUGAGGCUCAACCUCAUUCUGCCUUGCGAACUGGGCUACUUGAGUGCAGGAGGGGAAAGCGGAAUUCCCGGUGUAGCGGUGAAAUGCGUAGAUAUUGGGAAGAACACCGGUGGCGAAGGCGGCUUUAUGGACUUAAAGUGACCCUGAGGCACGAAGGCGUAGGGAGCAAACAGGAUUAGAUACCCUGGUAUUCCACGCCGUAAACGAUGAGCACUAGUUGUUGGGUACGAAUGUAUUCAGUGACGCAGUUAACGCAAUAAGUGCUCCGCCUGGGGAGUACGGUGGCAACACUAAAACUCAAAGGAAUUGACGGGG